AGAGAGAGCAUAUUUAAAUACACACAGGACACCGGAUAAGACAAGAGAAAUACUCCAGAUGUAACAGACUGACCCUAGCCCCCCGACACAUAAACUACUGCAGCAUAAAUACUGGAGGCUGAGACAGGAGGGAUCAGAAGACACUGUGGCCCCAUCCGAUGAUACCCCCAGACAGGGCCAAACAGGCAGGAUAUAACCCCACCCACUUUAACAAAGCACAGCCCCCACACCACUAGAGGGAUGUCUCCAACCACCAACUUACCGUCCUAAGACAAGGCCGAGUAUAGCCCACAACGAUCUCCGCCAUGGCACAACCCAAGGGGGGGGCGCCAACCCAGACAGGAAGACCACGUCAGUGACUCAACCCACUCAAGUGACGCACCCCUCCCAUGGACGGCAUGGAAGAACACCAGUAGGCCAGUGACGCAGCCCCCGUAAAAGGGUUAGAGGCAGAGAAUCCCAGUGGAAAGAGGGGAACCGGCAAGGCAGAGACAGCAAGGGCGGUUCGUUGCUCCAGCCUUUCCGUUCACCUUCACACUCCUGGGCCAGACUAUACUUAAUCAUAGGACCUACUGAAGAGAUAAGUCUUCAGUAAAGACUUAAAGGUUGAGACUGAGUCUGCGUCUCUCACAUUGGUAGGCAGACCAUUCCAUAAAAAUGGAGCUCUAUAGGAGAAAGCCCUACCUCCAGCCGUUUGCUUAGAAAUUCUAAGGACAAUUAGGAGGCCUGCGUCUUGUGACCGUAGCGGACGUGUAGGUAUGUAGGGCAGGACCAAAUCGGAAAGAUAGGUAGGAGCAAGCCCAUGUAAUGCUUUGUAGGUUAGCAGUAAAACCUUGAAAUCAGCCCUUGCCUUAACAAGAAGCCAGUGUAGGGACGCUAGCACUGGAGUAAUAUGAUCAAAUUUUUUGGUUCUAGUCAGGAUUCUAGCAGCCGUAUUUAGCACUAACUGAAGUUUAUUUAGUGCUUUAUCCGGGUAGCCGGAAAGUAGAGCAUUGCAGUAGUCCAGCCUAGAAGUAACAAAAGCAUGGAUUAAUUUUUCUGCGUCAUUUUUGGACAGAAAGUUUCUGAUUUUUGCAAUGUUACGUAGAUGGAAAAAAGCUGUCCUUGAAACAGUCUUGAUAUGUUCUUCAAAAGAGAGAUCAGGGUCCAGAGUAACGCCGAGGUCCUUCACAGUUUUAUUUGAGACGACUGUACAACCAUCCAGAUUAAUUGUCAGAUUCAACAGAAGAUCUCUUUGUUUCUUGGGACCUAGAACAAGCAUCUCUGUUUUGUCCGAGUUUAAAAGUAGAAAGUUUGCAGCCAUCCACUUCUUUAUGUCUGAAACACAGGCUUCUAGCGAGGGCAAUUUUGGGGCUUCACCAUGUUUCGUUGAAAUGUACAGCUGUGUGUCGUCCGCAUAGCAGUGAAAUUUAACAUUAUGUUUUCGAAUGACAUCCCCAAGAGGUAAAAUAUAUAGUGAAAACAAUAGUGGUCCUAAAACGGAACCUUGAGGAACACCGAAAUUUACAAUUGAUUUGUCAGAAGACAAACCAUUCACAGAGACAAACUGAUAUCUUUCCGACAGAUAAGAUCUAAACCAGGCCAGAACUUGUCCAUGUAGACCAAUUUGGGUUUCCAAUCUCUCCAAAGAAUGUGGUGAUCGAUGGUAUCAAAAGCGGCACUAAGAUCUAGGAGCACGAGGACAGAUGCAGAGCCUCGGUCUGACGUCAUUAAAAGGUCAUUUACCACCUUCACAAGUGCAGUCUCAGUGCUAUGAUGGGGUCUAAAACCAGACUGAAGCGUUUCGUAUACAUUGUUUGUCUUCAGGAAGGCAGUGAGUUGCUCUGCAACAGCUUUUUCUAAAAUUUUUGAGAGGAAUGGAAGAUUCGAUAUAGGCCGAUAGUUUUUUAUAAUUUCUGGAUCAAGAUUCGGCUUUUUCAAGAGAGGCUUUAUUACUGCCACUUUUAGUGAGCUUGGUACACAUCCGGUGGAUAGAGAGCCGUUUAUUAUGUUCAACAUAGGAGGGCCAAGCACAGGAAGCAGCUCUUUCAGUAGUUUAGUUGGAAUAGGGUCCAGUAUGCAGCUUGAGGGUUUGGAGGCCAUGAUUAUUUUC
rnacentral:lncRNA from 1 species